CACCCUCUGUCCCAAAUUGUAGGUCGUUUUGGCUUUUCUAGAUACAUAGCUUUUGCUAUGCACUUAGAUAUAUGAUACAUCUAGAUACAUAAUAAAAGUUGUGUAUCUAGAAAAGCCAAAACGACCUGUAAAAUUGAACGGAGGGUG
rnacentral:pre_miRNA from 1 species